GAAUAUUGGACAAUGGGCGCAAGCCUGAUCCAGCCAUACCGCGUGGGUGAGGAAGGCCUUCGGGUUGUAAAGCCCUAUUGUUGGGAAAGAUAAGCAGUCGGCUAAUACCCGUUUGUUCUGACGGUACCCAAAGAAUAAGCACCGGCCAACUCCGUGCCUGCCUCCGCGGUAAUACGAAGGGUGCAAGUGUUAGUCGGAAUUACUGGGCGUAAAGCGUGCGUAGGUGGUUGUUUAAGUCUGUUGUGAAAGCCCUGGGCUCAACCUUGGAAUUGCAGUGGAUACGGGGCGACUAGAGUGUGGUAGAGGGUAGUGGAAUUCCCGGUGUAGCAGUGAAAUGCGUAGAGAUCGGGAGGAACAUCCAUGGCGAAGGCAGCUACCUGGACCAACACUGACACUGAGGCACGAAAGCGUGGGGAGCAAACAGG
rnacentral:rRNA from 1 species